AGGAAGUCUCUACGCUCCUCGCCAUGGGGGCCAUAGAGGAGGUUCCAGUGGAAUUAAGGGGCAGGGGAUUCUACUCCCGUUAUUUCCUCAUCCCCAAGUCCAAAGGAGGUCUGCGACCCAUCUUGGACUUGCGCGGACUCGACAAAUUCGUAGUAAAGUUGAAGUUCCGCAUGGUCCCUUUGGGGACCAUUAUCCCUUCCCUCGAUCCUGGAGACUGGUUCGCCGCCCUCGACAUGAAAGAUGCAUACUUUCACAUCGCAAUUUACCCGCCUCACAGACGCUUCCUGCGGUUCGUGGUAAGCAAGGUGCACUACCAAUUUGCAGUCCUUCCCUUCGGCCUAUCCUCGGCCCCAAGGGUAUUCACGAAAUGUAUGGCUGUCGUGGCAGCGUACCUUCGUCGGCAAGGGGUACAGGUGUUCCCGUACCUAGACGACUGGCUGGUACGCGGUCGCACCAAAGAGCAAGUUCGAGCUCACGUCCACAUAAUAGUGCACACAUUCAACAAGUUGGGCAUCCUACUCAACAAGAACAAAUCCACUCUAGAACCUACCCAGAGAAUAGAAUUCAUCGGCGCAGUUCUAGACUCCAGGCGUGCACAAGCCAUCCUGCCAGACAACCGCUUUUGCACCAUCACGAGCCUCAUUCAAGGACUCAAGGCCCUCCCAACUACCACGGUGAGGUCGUGCCUUACCCUGCUGGGUCACAUGGCUUCCUGCACGUACGUAACCAGGCAUGCCAGACUUCGGCUUCGCCCACUCCAGACCUGGGUAUCAUCAAUAUACCGCCCACAUCGGGACAGCCUGAAUAUGGUGGUCACAGUCCCGAACUCGGUCCUGACCUCCCUCACAUGGUGGCUAGAUCACAAUGUGGUUUGCGAGGGGAUGCCGUUUCACGCCCCACAACCCUCUCUGCACCUGGUCACAGACGCUUCAUCUCUGGGUUGGGGCGCCCAUCUCAACGAGCACCAUACCCAGGGCCUGUGGACUGCACCUCAGCUAGCCCUACACAUCAAUGUUCGGGAUUUCUCAAUCUCCUACGGGGCCGCUGUGUGUUAGUUCUCACCGACAACACCACGGCCAUGUUUUACAUCAACAAGCAAGGAGGAGCACGUUCGUCAAUUCUAUGCCAAGAGGCCAUUCGCCUGUGGGACUCCUGCAUCGCCCAUUCAUCCCAUCACACGGCUUCGUUCCUCCCUGGAGUCCAGAAUACUCUGGCGGACCGGCUCAGCAGGUCCUUUCAAACGCACGAGUGGUCUAUCCGUCCGGACAUUAUACAUUCCGUCUUCCAGAAGUGGGGGUUUCCCCACAUAGACCUGUUUGCAUCUCGAGACAACAGNNNNNNNNNNNN
rnacentral:lncRNA from 1 species